UAUAAAAUAUAUUGUCUCUGAUUCGAAUCAACGCUUUAAAUUUUUCUAAUAUUGUAUCCGUGUCUGUUUGCAGCUGAGCUCAAGUCCUCUGGAUUUGACGCCCCAGAAAUGAAAGUAAACAUCGGACGAAGCGGAUCCAUCGGCGGGCGGCGACCGCCCACGCGGCCUCGCAGCACCAUCCUCAACUCCCGCAACAUCGAAGAACCAUCUAGUCGCCUCUCCGAGCUCUCGAGCAUCUGCGAGAAGCUCCACCGACAGACCGAGACGCACUCUUUCGGCAAGUUCCCCAACUUCCACACCCCGAGCUUCGGGAAGCGGAUGUUCGAGAACGGCUUCCACGAGAGCACCGACUGUGAUGACGCCUCCUCCCAGAAGUCUAGCUCCUUAGGCUCCAUCAAGAUCACCGAAAUCACCAAUGGUGACUCAGACGUCCCCGACGAUGCCUCAACCCACGGAAGCCUCACCCGCCAAAAGAGCAAUUCCAUCGAGGAUAUGAAGAGUCAGAACCUGGACGACAAAACGUCUGAAGACGGUGAGUCUAACUGGCGUCGUGGCUCAAAGGUGCGACGAUCGUUACAGUUCUUCGCGCAAAAAGCGGAGGAAAGCCCAAAACCAAAUUUCAAACAAGUUCACACGAAGACCUGGUCAGAUCUGAAUGAGCUGGAGGGUGUAGUGUUAAAGAUUAAACGAGAUAUAGACAACGAUUCUAUCAAGCCGCUCAGCGACGCUGAGGAUAGCAGUAAAGAAAACACCGAGAGCAGGAAGUUAACACCAGCCAAGAAGAAAGAUUCCUUCAUCACGGUGGAGUCAUUAAACGAGGUGCGCGGGAAAUUAAAACCAUUGAACCCGGAACCGGUUGUCCCGAUAGUGACGGAACCGGACGACGGCAUAGUCACCGAGACGAAGCCGGAGACUCCGCCAGCGCCCACUCCGGGGAAAGUCAAGUCAUUCGUCUUCGGCAUGGAGAUCCAGUUGCAGAAACCAAAAAUCAACGGGACCGGGAGUUUGGAAAGCCGCAGCUCCAGUAAGUCCAGCACCUCGUCGGGCAGCCGCUCGGAGGAAUGGUACAACCGCCGGAAGUCCUACGGCUUUGAGCAGAUGCACAACCAGAACGGCGAGAACUCUCGUCUCAAAGAGGACUCCAAGGUGGAGUCAUCGACGGAUAGCGGAAUCUGCAGGUCUUCCGAGAUAGUGGCGGCGCCCUCCAAGUUAGGCAUCUCCAAGUACGACGAGGUUAUGCCGAAGUCUAUCCUCGACACCCAGGAGGCCAAGUUCUCGAACCAGUUCGGGAGGAAGACGACGGUGACGCUAGGUGACGGCAAUCAGCCUUUCGAGUGCCACAGGAGGUCCUUCCCAGGAGGCAAGAUACAGGAAGCCCUGCGAAGUUUACGCGAGACGUCGACUUUUAGUGUGUUCGAUCAGAAGAGGAAGUCAGAACCGGUUACAAUUUCCAUACCGAUAGUUCAAGUUAACUCCGUUGAAGACACGCCGAAGACAAAGACACUUCUACAUAGGCAGUUCUCGAACGGGACGGCGGUUUCAGUGGAGUCUAGUCCUGUUGUAGACGAAGGAAGAGAUAGUUGUAGGGAAUCAGACUCGGAUUUCAACAGCUUCUCGCUGAACUCGAUCUCCGACAAGCUGUCGACCAACUCGACGGAGGACCUCUUGUCGGACUGUUCGGCGAAGGCGUCGGGCGACUUCGAGAGCGUCCGCCCGACGAGCGUGCAGAUCUUCUCGGACGAGGACGCCUCCCGGGUGAAGUCGCCGACGUCGGAGGUGGACAAGAAGCAGCGGAAGGUGGAGUUCAGCAAGACGGAGAUCCACUUCGCGGCGGAGCCGGGGAAGCUGAACAUCGUGGAGACGGACGGGAAGCCGCCGCCGACGAACAUCUACCGACGGAGGAGGCGGCACUCGAGGGACCACACGGAUCGGAAGACGAGCGUCGCGGAGAUCCGAUUUGGCGACUCGCAGUACGAGAAGGAGCUCCUUACGGCGGAGCCGGAGGCUAUUGGAUACAAGCCCAUCUCCGUCGAGGAGAUCAGGAAGCUGAGUCCGAGCCUCAAUGAGGCCCAUAAUAAGAUUAUCGAUAGCUUCACGCAGAAGUACGGCCCGGAGAGCACCGACGAUGCGGAGAAUCCUAAACUGAGGAGCAUCCUGAAGAACCACGACGCGAAGAGCGUUUGGUGCUCGUCGGUGAACAUCAAGAGCGACCCGGAAGAGAACGAGUUCCAGCGGCUCCUGCGGUCCCUGAAGCCGGCCACGAGGAACAGCAUCGACAUCCCGGAGGUCUGCAGGUCCACGUCGACGGCCGCCGACAACGGCCUGGAGGUUCGGAUCUCGUCGAUGAAGCCGGUCGACAAGCGACGAGCCUCCUGGUCCGUCCCCGAGAGGCAGAUCGCCGAGGACUCCCGGCUCCGGGGCUUCUCGACCAAAGUCAACUUCGGCGCCGGCGAGGCUACCGUCGUCCCUGCCCCCGCCCCCGCCUCCACGUCCGCCCAGAAGAUCCCCGUCAGCGGGCCCACGUGGUUCCAAAGUCAGUCUUACUGUGACGACAAGAACGGGCCUCCUGUUCACCGCGUCGUGGCCGUGGCCAAACUGGACUCGUACGACCGGGACCCGAACCUCAACUCGGUGGAGGCCCUGGUGAGCACCAAGUCCGGGCACCCGAAGAUCACCUCCAUCUCGCUCAAGUACGACGAGGACCCGGCCAAGCCCAACUUCAAGCCCCUCAACUUCUCGAGCCGCUUGAGCAAGCCGCCGGCCCGGCUCCCGAACUCGUCCCCGUGCCGACCCCCAAAGUGAAGAACCCGCCAAGCUCAGCCCGAAGAACGACCGGAUACCGGAUCUGUCUGGUCUCCGAUUGAAAGAGUCGAAUGAAAACGGUAAGGGUCAUACACUCGUUUCGCCGCUCUUCUGACGUAAAGACAUAUCUCGAUUUUCAGAAGAGCCCCGGAAAGCAGGGAGUUAUAUGGAUAAUAGGGCUCAUCCAGUAAUAGAGUUACGCCUUGAGUCAGAGGAGCGACGAUUUGUGCAGACAUUCAUGGAUCAUGGGAAAACGAAGUAAAGUCUACGGAGGCUACAUUUAGGAUCGUGUUUAACUGAAACGCACCAAGCCGCAUUUUGGGGGGAAAAUAAGUCUAAAGGAGUAUUGAAUUCCACUUGUUGUAAAUUAUUUCCUUUUAAAAAUGCAAAGUCAAGAAAAUCUAUUUUGAACAUUAUUAUAGUCGUUGAACUUUGCCAAUGACGUUGCAAGUCUAAACUGAGUACAUUUUCCUUGGGGUAUUUUUGUCAAGUUGGGUUUAAUAAUCUUCAACCUCAAUCAGAAAUUCAGAGGAGUUUCCAAAAAAAAAGAGAAAAAAAAUCAUACAGCAGGAGUACGAGAAUGAGACAAUGAAUACGUAAGAUUAAAUGAUCCUUAUGGGAUUGUUGGCGCCUAAUUCAAACGUGCCAUCUGUUCCAUUGAUUUGUUGAAACGCUGAAUGAAAUCGAAAUAGCUUCUUUCAAAAAAUACCUCUGAUAUUUGCCAAAAAUGAUCUGCGUUGUACGCAGUUUUUAUCAAUAAGAUCAGGUUUUCAACCGUACCUCCGAUCUAACUAUCUGCAUCUUGUGUAUUUUUCAUUAUAGACGCGAUUCCGAUUCCCGUCAUCGUGGAGCGGAAGUCGGCGACCGAGAUCCGGAAACAAGAAGAAACGAAGAAGAAAGUACUGAAGAGCGUGCCAGUGACGAAGAUGCCGACCCGACAACCGGCAGUCCCACCGCGGAAAGUGGGACCCUCGAGGAAGAUGGAGGAGGUCUCUGCCCUGAGGCACCGAUCGUUGUCCCCGACGCACGAGAGCAGCUUCGCGCCGCUCGUGCCGCGGGCGACCAAGUCCCAGGAGAAGGUCAUCCGGCCGGAGCUCAAACCCGUGGACACGCGGAUCCGACGGGAGCGAUUGGAGAGGAGGGUGGAGACGAGUCAGAGACGGAGUAUAUUCGACAGUGGCCGGGACAGCUGGCUCAACGCACCUAAAGGGGACCGCAGGAGUCAAAGGCAGCCCGAGGGGAGGGAUAGGCGCACGAAGAAAGAAGAGCCGAGGACAAGGUAUGUUCCUUUGUGAAAUGUGACCUAGCGAGGCUGAAAGUCCCUAAAAGUUUGAUGUAGGAGGAUUAAUAACUAAGACAAAGCUCAGAGAGAUUAAUUUGGCUGCAAUGGACACCUAGAAGUUCCAAAAAUUGACCCACUAGUAGCAACGUAGAAGCAGAGGUAGAAAUAGCGAUAGGGAGAGAGUUAAAGGGAGCGACAGAGGAGG
rnacentral:lncRNA from 1 species